GACGAACGCUGGCGGCGUGCCUAAUACAUGCAAGUAGAACGCUGAAGGAGGAGCUUGCUUCUCUGGAUGAGUUGCGAACGGGUGAGUAACGCGUAGGUAACCUGCCUGGUAGCGGGGGAUAACUAUUGGAAACGAUAGCUAAUACCGCAUAAUAGUAGAUGUUGCAUGACAUUUGCUUAAAAGGUGCAAUUGCAUCACUACCAGAUGGACCUGCGUUGUAUUAGCUAGUUGGUGAGGUAACGGCUCACCAAGGCGACGAUACAUAGCCGACCUGAGAGGGGGAUCGGCCAACCUGGGACUGAGACACGGCCCAGACUCCUACGGGAGGCAGCAGUAGGGAAUCUUCGGCAAUGGACGGAAGUCUGACCGAGCAACGCCGCGUGAGUGAAGAAGGGUUUCGGAUCGUAAAGCUCUGUUGUAAGAGAAGAACGAGUGUGAGAGUGGAAAGUUCACACUGUGACGGUAUCUUACCAGAAAGGGACGGCUAACUACGUG
rnacentral:rRNA from 1 species